UUGCUAUUUGGAUUUAUUUAAAAAGUGAUUUUAUCCUGUUAAAGCACCAACGUUUGUUUUCUUACAGCUCAUGAAUGUGUCAGUCAAACGUUUUCCAGAUUUCUAGAAAACUGCUUCCGUUCAUAUUCGUCAAGUCAUACAUCACAUCGAGGAGAUUAAUUAAUUAAUCAAUUAAUUAA